rnacentral:ncRNA from 1 species
GAACAAUGUAUAAACUAUGACCAACUCAGUGCAGAGGGUACACACUGCUGAGAUGGGCGAUUAAGGAAUGGCAAAGAGGGAUACCUUUAGCAUAUGCCUUUUGACCGUAGGCGACUCGGUCUUGAAGAGAUUAAUUUCUCAACAAUCGUUUAGUGCAAUAAUUGAAUAGGAAUAAGACAGUAAGUGAAAGGGCGAGACAAUAGACGCUCUCUGUGAGAGAAUAACCCUAGAUGGUCGGCUGAUGUGGUAGUCAGUGACGGACAAAGGGAAUACCAAUACCAAUAACUCGUUUAGCAGUGAUGCUGGGUUUCCAGCUAUAACUUUUGCUUAUGUACCAGUAGCCGAAUCUGCUAUAGAUAAAGAAAAUAAUGGAGCAGAACUCCCUAUAGUUUAAAUUUUUCUGAAAGUCGGUGAAAGUUGUGGGUCACAAUCCCAUAUGGUUUUAGGUCAAUGCUUCGGCGUUGAUGGUAUAAGAAGCCUAGGAGUCGCUCUCCUUUGCUCAGACUUAUAUCACCAUUAGUCUAAUAAUUUGGUUCAAUUGUUUGUAAGGGGAAACCUUGGUCGUGAUUUAUAGUUCUU